rnacentral:pre_miRNA from 1 species
CACGAUCACUCCCGCUGAGCGGGCAGCCACCGAGCCAUCGGGGAUGUCGUGUCUGUCCAAAGCUCUUU